rnacentral:rRNA from 1 species
GAUGAACGCUAGCUACAGGCUUAACACAUGCAAGUCGAGGGGAAACGAUGAGAGAGCUUGCUCUCUUAGUCGUCGACCGGCGCACGGGUGAGUAACGCGUAUCCAACCUGCCUCUGACCAAGGGAUAACCCGUCGAAAGUCGGACUAAUACCUUAUGCAGUCGUCGGAAGUCAUCUGAUGACGACGAAAGAUUUCAUCGGUGAGAGAUGGGGAUGCGUCUGAUUAGCUUGUUGGCGGGGUAACGGCCCACCAAGGCGACGAUCAGUAGGGGUUCUGAGAGGAAGGUCCCCCACAUUGGAACUGAGACACGGUCCAAACACCUACGGGAGGCAGCAGUGAGGAAUAUAGGUCAAUGGGCGUAAGCCUGAACCAGCCAAGUAGCGUGCAGGAUGACGGCACUAUGGGUGGUAAACUGCUUUUAGGCGGGGAUAAAGUGAGGGACGUGUCCGUCAUUGCAGGUACCGCAUGAAUAAGGACCGGCUAAUUCCGUG